AGCGCCAAUAGCGUCAUGACGUGAUCAUGGCGUCCUAGGAUCGCGCAACAUUCGCAUGCAAAAUCGCACCACGGUGCCGAUCGCGCGCUCACUCCCUCUUUCUCUCCUUGUCGCGAGCUGUGCCUCUCCACGACGCGUUAGCGUCCGUUUCCUGUCGCCUGACGAUUCUACGUUUGUAGCGAGAGCUGUCCGAGCUAGGGAGGGAGAGGUGCAACAUGUUUGUCCGAGCGUCGCCGCGAUGCCCUCUGGACUGUUGUUAUCGCACGUGAGCCCCUUACAAAGACACUGCUUGUACUCCCCGCGCAGCAGUCCGCAGGAGAUUCUGUCUCCUCCCCCCCCUCCCCUUCAUGGAAACGUUCCCCACUCGCAGUUCAACGUUGCUCGGUGUUGCUGUCAACAAUAGAGGACGGCGGAAUCCUCGACGCGUCAUUGCUUUGUUUAAGUAUGUUGUGAAGAAACGCCCCCUUGUUUACUCGACCCUGCAGUGUCGUCAGGAAGGACCCACAUAUGGUGAACCGCGUCGGGACUGUUGUGUGGUGCCAUGAGCUACGUGAAAUCCAGGGUGGGGGAAAAACAAGAGAAGAAGCAAGCGCUAUGGUUUUGUGAGAACAAUGCAGACUACAAACGACAGAAGGCUGAACGGGUUGAUAAGGAUUCAUGGCCUAAAAGGCAGAGGAUCACCUUGGCUUUCCGGCUUCAUGCUGAGCUCCAGGGAGUUCCCGGCCCAAGCAGAAGUUGCAGCGCCAGGCAGGGGAACCCGAACCACAGCCGCAUCUGGAGAGUGCCGAGUUAUCCGUCCGAGGGACACCACUGAAAGUUAUAACACAGCUCGUAUUGGAAUGGUUCACAAGAAGAUGGUGACUUGAAGUGAUCAACAGUGGUCCAACAAGGGAUGUAACUGGACUCGGAGUCAACAUUUUGACAAGUGCCCUUGUAGGAACAUUGGCUCUUCACUGAGGCUGCUUUCGUUUGUCCACUGUUGAUCGAUAGAACUGUCUAAUAUGGCCUACAGCAAGUGGAAGUAGA